rnacentral:other from 1 species
AAUUCCAGCGAGAGGCAGAGGGAGCGUGCGGGCGGGCCCUCCAGGGUGGAAGAGCCGAGCUAGCCUAGCGAGCGGAGUCGCGCUCCGGGCGCCCGGGGAAGGGAGAUCCGGAGUCAAAGGGGGGCUUCUGCGCCUUCAGCCCGGCCGGCCCCCACCCCACCCACCCCGCGGACCCCUGCUAGCGGUCCGCCACCCGCGCCGCAUUCGCGAAACUUUGCCCACUGGAACUUACAACAUCCGAGCGACACCAAGACUCCCCGGACGCAGAGAAGCUCUUCUGCCUUUUUGGGGAGACACUUUCCCCCGCCGC